rnacentral:rRNA from 1 species
UGGGGAAUAUUGCACAAUGGGCGCAAGCCUGAUGCAGCCAUGCCGCGUGUAUGAAGAAGGCCUUCGGGUUGUAAAGUACUUUCAGCGGGGAGGAAGGCGAUAAGGUUAAUAACCUUGUCGAUUGACGUUACCCGCAGAAGAAGCACCGGCUAACUCCGUGCCAGCAGCCGCGGUAAUACGGAGGGUGCAAGCGUUAAUCGGAAUUACUGGGCGUAAAGCGCACGCAGGCGGUCUGUCAAGUCGGAUGUGAAAUCCCCGGGCUCAACCUGGGAACUGCAUUCGAAACUGCAGGCUAGAGUCUUGUAGAGGGGGGUAGAAUUCCAGGUGUAGCGGUGAAAUGCGUAGAGAUCUGGAGGAAUACCGGUGGCGAAGGCGGCCCCCUGGACAAAGACUGACGCUCAGGUGCGAAAGCGUGGGGAGCAAACA